CCAGCAGCCGCGGUAAUUCCAGCACCAGUAGCGUAUGCUAAAGUUGUUGCAGUUAAAAAGCUCGUAGCUGAAAUUUGGGUCUGAGCCGCAAGGUCUGCCGGAAUGGUGUGUACCAGCGGUUCUUUCCUUCCUUUCGGUAUGCUGCCCUUCACGGGGUCAAGCUCCGGAUCUUUCACUGUGAAAAAAUUAGAGUGUUCAAAGCAGGCCUAAUUAUGCCUUGAAUAGUUCAGCAUGGGAUGAUAGAACAGGUCUUUGCGUCUAUUUUGUUGGUUUCUAGAGGGCAAAGAAAUGAUUAAUGGGAACAGUUAGGGGAAUUCGUAUUUAACAGUCAGAGGUGAAAUUCUUGGAUUUGUGAAAGACGAACUUCUGCGAAAGCAUUUUCCAGAGAUGCUUCCGUCAAUCAAGAACGAAAGU
rnacentral:rRNA from 1 species